GGAGGGUAAGAAGUAGGAGGAAGUGGGGGAGAGUGGUGGGAGUGUUGAGGGAGUUGGAGGAGUCGUGUGAGACCACAGUGGGGAGGUUGAGGCAGGUGGUAGAUGCUAUGGCCGUGGAGAUGCAUGCUGGUUUGGCUUCUGAAGGAGGCUCUAAACUCAAAAUGUUACUCACUUUUGUCGACCAUUUACCUACUGGGAGCGAGGUGGGAACUUAUUAUGCUUUAGAUCUUGGGG
rnacentral:misc_RNA from 1 species